rnacentral:rRNA from 1 species
CGAAAGCCUGACGCAGCGACGCCGCGUGGAGGAUGAAGGUCUUCGGAUUGUAAACUCCUGUCAGAGGUGAAGAAAGCCCUUAUGGGUCUGACGGUAACCUCAGAGGAAGCCCCGGCUAACUACGUGCCAGCAGCCGCGGUAAUACGUAGGGGGCAAACGUUGCUCGGAAUUACUGGGCGUAAAGGGUGCGCAGGUGGCUGAGAAAGUCGUUGAUGAAAUCCCGGGGCUUACCCCCGGAACUGUCUUCGAUACUUCUCAGCUUGAGGAUAGUCGAGGAGAACGGAAUUCCCGGUGGAGCGGUGAAAUGCGUAGAUAUCGGGAGGAACACCAGAGGCGAAGGCGGUUCUCUAGGCUAAUCCUGACACUGAAUGCGAAAGCUAGGGGAGCG